rnacentral:rRNA from 1 species
ACGCUCGACACCUACGGGGGGCAGCAGUGGGGAAUAUUGCACAAUGGGGGAAACCCUGAUGCAGCGACGCCGCGUGAACGAAGAAGUAUUUCGGUAUGUAAAGCUCUAUCAGCAGGGAAGAAACUGACGGUACCUGACCAAGAAGCACCGGCUAAAUACGUGCCAGCAGCCGCGGUAAUCUGAGCGGGCUGGCAAGGC